GCUGGGUGUGAUGGCUCACACCUGUAAUCCUAGCACUUUGGGAGGCUGAGGUGGGUGGAUCACUUGAGGUCAGGAGUUCAAAAUCAGGCUGGCCAACAUGGUGAAACCUUGUCUCUACUAAAAAUACAAAAAAUUAGCUGGGCAUGGUGGUGGGCACCUGCAAUCCCAGCUAUUUGGGAGGCUGAGGCAGGAGAAUCACUUGAACCCCAGAGGCAGAGGUUACAGUGAGCCAAGAUUGCACCAUUGCACUCCAGCCUGGGCAACAGAGUGAGACUCCAUCACA
rnacentral:sRNA from 1 species